rnacentral:lncRNA from 1 species
CAGAAUUAACUUACAAUGAGAAUAUUUUCCCACAAUGCAGGUUCAGCCACCACCAUCUUCCUUGAGUCAUCCCAUGAGAUUCCGCUUUGCAUCCUUGCUUCUUUGAGGAAGCGAUAGUCCCUUUUGAGCUCCUUUUCCUUAUUUUGUAUCUGCAGCUUUGUGAAUAAAGCAUAUGGAUGCUUCUCAUUCAUUUCUCUUGUUAUCUUGUUCCAUGCUUCAGUAGACCAUCCAUUGUCUCCCCUAAAUAAUGGGUUGUUAUGCUCAUGAAACAACUCAACUAGAGUCUUCUCUUGUUCAAAAGUCCAUGAUGCUCUAGCUUUUGGAGAUGCCCCUUUCCUUUUUGAGGUACAACCUUUUGGAGAUGUCCCUUUCCUUUUUGUAAUACAAGCUUUUGGUGACAACUUCUUGGACGGAGCCACGAACUU